rnacentral:rRNA from 1 species
AGGAAUAUUGGACAAUGGUCGCAAGACUGAUCCAGCCAUGCCGCGUGCAGGAAGACGGCCCUAUGGGUUGUAAACUGCUUUUGUACCAGAGAAAACCUAUCUACGUGUAGAUAGCUGAUAGUAUGGUAAGAAUAAGCAUCGGCUAACUUCGUGCCAGCAGCCGCGGUAAGACGAAGGAUGCAAGCGUUAUCCGGAUUCAUUGGGUUUAAAGGGUGCGUAGGCGGGCUUGUAAGUCAGUGGUGAAAUCUCUCAGCUUAACUGAGAAACUGCCAUUGAUACUGCAGGCCUAGAGUAUAGAUGACGUUGGCGGAAUAUGACAUGUAGUGGUGAAAUACUUAGAUAUGUCAUAGAACACCGAUUGCGAAGGCAGCUAACGAAACUAUAACUGACGCUGAGGCACGAAAGUGCGGGGAUCAAACA